rnacentral:rRNA from 1 species
CCUACGGGAGGCAGCAGUGGGGAAUAUUGGACAAUGGGGGGAACCCUGAUCCAGCCAUGCCGCGUGUGUGAAGAAGGCCCUCGGGUUGUAAAGCACUUUCAGUGAGGAAGAACGCCUGGUGGUUAAUACCCAUCAGGAAAGACAUCACUCACAGAAGAAGCACCGGCUAACUCCGUGCCAGCAGCCGCGGUAAUACGGAGGGUGCGAGCGUUAAUCGGAAUUACUGGGCGUAAAGCGCGCGUAGGUGGCUUGAUAAGCCGGUUGUGAAAGCCCCGGGCUCAACCUGGGAACGGCAUCCGGAGCUGUCAAGCUUGAGGGCAGGAGAGGAAGGUAGAAUUCCCGGUGUAGCGGUGAAAUGCGUAGAGAUCGGGAGGAAUACCAGUGGCGAAGGCGGCCUUCUGGACUGACACUGACACUGAGGUGCGAAAGCGUGGGUAGCAAACAGGAUUAGAUACCCUAGUAGUC